GCACUGCUGACGAGUCAAGCAAUAAGACGAAACGGCUGUCCAGUAC
rnacentral:hammerhead_ribozyme from 1 species